GUAGCCUAGCACAUGCGCAGAGUAGAGAGGUAGCCGGGUACCGGGGCCGCGGGCGGCCAGCUGACGAAUGGGGCUUCGCCACCUGGUCGCGAGAAGCCCGCUUCCGGCUGGCCAUCUUGGGCGUAGAACUCUUGCCCUAGGCUUUGCUGUUAACUAUGACAGACAAGAAUUGGAAAAAAGGAAAGUACCCCUGGGUGGGCCUCCCAGCGACCGCGAAAGUAUCCCCGACCUUGCGCGGGCCCCCGGACACGCGCUUGUGCCUCUGGCAAGGCUAGAGGACCCAGCGGUGAAGCGCCAUUCCGGGCCCUAGGCCGGCGUUCCUUUGUCAACCUGGAAGGCCGGAGCAGCAAAGUCGCCCCCCAAACCCAUCCCCGACCAGAGACGCAGGGCUAGGAGCCAGGGUUCGCACACUGUCGCGGGAAAGAGGCCGAGAAGUCUCCACGAGGAUCCAUGGCCUGGGAGACCCCGGCGGCAUCACUAGGCCCGCUCCGCCCACCCUGACCCGCACCCUCCCGGCCAGCUGCGUCUCGGGCGCCGCCUCCCGUGAGCCGCUCUCGCUUCGACGCCGCCCUGCCCUUCCCACACCACUGUGCUCUGAGUGCCUCGAGGCGCCUCUGGAGGUCGUGGGGGAAGCACGACCGCCCCCAGCCGCCCACGGGGUAGCAUCUAGGGAAAGAAGGACUGGAGGGAAUCCUGCUCGAGCUCACCUGUUUUCCAGGAGGAUAUGCCGCUUUAAUAACUGGCUGCAGGUCCCUUUGAGAAAAGCUUGAGACGGUUUCUGGUGUGCACUUGCAGCCACUGUGCAAGGUCCUUCCCAGGGGAACCUAGCCUCCCUUUCCAUCAUGGGUCUCUGGAUCGCAGCGGUGACUUAGAGAUGGGGCCUUGUUAGGUUGUCCAGACUGGUCUUGAACUGCUGGAGCCAAGUGAUCCUCCCGCCAUAACCCUAACCCUAACCCAGAGUUCUGGGAUUCCAGGCAAGAGCCAAUGUGCCUGGCCGGACUUCACGGUCUCUUACCUGGACCGGGGCGAUGGUCCCACCCAGGCCCUCAGAACUGGGGGGUGAGCUGUUUGCUUAUGGCUCACCCACGAAAAAAGAAACUCCCAGAAGGAAGGGAUUGUGUCUGGAGCGCUCUACCUCCAGGCCCCAGACUGCAGGUAUCCCUUGCCAGCCGAGCUGAGGCCAGCAGGGCAAAGUCCAUUCCUGCCGCCUGGACUGAGGCCUUCGUCCUCUCGAAAGAAGCAAUGCUGAGAAGUGGGCUCAUCCCGUCACGCCACCAGAGUCUCAGGAAGCCAGGGAUGUGGGUGUCAAAUGGUCCCGGAGAUGAUGAUGGGAAACUUCACGUGGAGAAGAAAAUGCCCAAGAAUGAGCGAAGCUGUCUGCAAGGACCCUCGAAGGGAGCUGGCAGGUGCACUAGGUAUGGCGAGAUGCAAACGAGGCUCAUGGCAUUGUUCCCCGGAAGGACCAGCGCAGAGGAGACCGCAGAUGCCUGCACGUUUAGCGGGAGUACGGCAGUGCGAUCAUGGGGGAAAGGCUGUGUGUGACAAAUGGUAUGGAGGAGACCGACAGUGGGAAAGGAGUCGGGCACGGUGGCUCACGCCUGCCAUCCCAGCACUUUGGGAGGCUGAGGUGGGUGGAUUGAUGGAGCCCAGGAGUUGGAGACCAGCCUGGGGAACAUGGUGAAACCCCAUCUCUAGAAAAAAAUUAAAAAUUAGCAGGGCGUGGUGGCACCCACCUGUAGUCCUAGUAAGCUGGGGGGCUGAGGCAAGAGGAUCAAUUCAGCUUGGGAGGUUGAGGCUGCAGUGAGCUCACUGCCCCUUUACACUCCAGCCUGGGCCUCUCUCAGAACAAACAAACAAGCUGGGCGUGGUGGCUCACGCCUGUAAUCCCAGCAGUUUGGGAGGCCGAGGCGGGCGGAUCACUUGAGGUCAGGAGUUCAAGAGCAGCCUGGCCAACAUGGUGAAACCCCGUCUCUACUAAAAAUACAAAAAUCAGCUGGGCGUGGUGGCACGUGCCUGUAGUCCCAGCUACUUCGGAGGAUGAGGUGGGAGAAUUGCUUGAAGCAAGACUCCGUCUCAAAAAUAAAUAAAUAGAAUUGAACAAACACAUGCCAAAUGACACCACGUAUUUCACAAGGAUCUGUAGAAAUGGAAGGUCCUAAGCACCACAGCGCCUUUGGGAGGGAGGGGAACAAGACUAGGAAACCGGGAGAAGGAAACAGCAAAAAGCUACUGUUCUCCCAGCCAAUUUUCAGACACCUAAAAAGUUGUUAGCCGAAACGGUGCUGGUGAGGCUGUGGGUAAACACGGAGGGUACAGCGUGGGGAAGGGACAGUAUCAAAGGUGGGUCUUUCAGGGAGGCAAUUCCCUAGUGUCUAUUACAAUUUUAAAUGCAGGCCACAGAAAGUGGCACACAACUGUAAUCCCAGCAUUUUGAGAGGCCAAGGCGGGAGCAUCGCUUGAGCCCAGGGGUUCAAGACCAGCCUGGGCAACACAGUGAGACCCCAUCUCAACAAAAAGAAGCUUUCUAAAGAAACCAGGGGUGGUGGUGCACACUUGUGGUCCCAGCUGCUCAGGAGGCUGAAGUAGGAAGAUCACUUGAGCCCAGGAGGUUGAGGCAGCGGUGAGCGGUGAUCUAGCCAUUCCACUCCAGUCUGGGCCACAGCCUGAUAACCUGUCUCAAAAAAAAAAAAAAAAAAAAUGUAUGUACAUAUAUCUGGACCCAGCAAUUCCACUCACAGGUAAUUAUCCUAGAGAGAGAUGGAUGCAUGUUCAAGGCUGUGUUCAUAGUAAAUGGAAGGUAGGAAUAAUGAUGCUUUAAAAGCACAUCAAAUCGGGGCCAGGUGCAGUGGCGCACUCCUGUGAUCCCAGCUACUCAUGAGGCUGAGGCAGGAGAAUCCCUUGAACCCGGGAGGCAGAGAUUGCAGUGAGCCGAGAUUGUGCCAUUGCACUCCAUCCAGCCUGGGCAACAAAAGCGAAACGCUGCUCAAAAAAAUUUUUGUUGUUGUUGUUUAAAUAAGAGCACAUCAGGCUGGCCACUGUGGCUCACGCCUGUAAUCCCAGCACUUUGGGAGGCCAAGGUAGGCGGAUCACCUGAGGUCGGCAGUUCGAGACCAGCCUGACCAACAUGGAGAAACCCCAUCUCUACUGAAAAUACAAAAAAAAAAAAAAAUUAACCGGGUGUGGUGGCACGUGCCUGUAAUCCCAGCUACUCAGGAGGCUGAGGCAGGAGAACGGCUUGAACCUGGGAUGCAGAGGUUGCGUUGAGCUGAGAUCGCGCCAUUGCACACUCCAGCCUGGGGGACAAGAGCGAGACUUUGUCUCAAAAAAAAAGUCUGGGCGUAGUGGUUCACACCUGAAAUCCCAGCACGUUGGGAGGCCGAAGUGGGUGGAUCACGAUGUCAGGAAUUCAAGACCAGCCUGGCCAAGAUGGUGAAACCCCAUCUCUAAUAAAAAUACAAAAAUUAGCCAGGCAUGGUGGCAGGCGUCUGUAAUCCCAGCUACUUGGGAGGCUGAAGCAGAGAAUUUCUUGAACCCGGGAGGCGGAGGUUGCGGUGAGCCGAGAUCGCGCCACUGCAUUCCAGCCUGGGCGACAGAGCGAGACUCUGUCUCAAAAAAAAAAAAAAAGUCUAAUUUAUAGGCUGUACGUGGUGGCUCACGCCUGCAAUCCCAGCACUUUGGGAGGCUGAGGCAGGCGCAUCACUUGAGGCCAGGAGUUCCAGAUCAGCCUGACCAACAUGGUGAAACCCCACCUCUACUACAAAUAGAAAAAUUAGCCAGGCGUGGUGGCACACACCUGUAGUCCCAGCUACUAGGGAGGCUGAGGUGGGAGGAUCCCUUGAGCCUGGGAGGCAGAGGUUGUUGCAGUGAGCCGAGAUGGUGCCAUUGCACAGCAGCCUGGGCAACAGAGCAAGACUCUAUCUCAAAAACAAAAUAAAAAGUUGAAAUUAUAAAAAACAACAACCACACA